rnacentral:lncRNA from 1 species
CCCCCAGGGUCCCCCCGCCCUCCCCCCAGGUCCCUUUCGACCCCUUGCCAUCAUUUCUCCCGUUGAUUUGCAGAACCGUCUAGUCUGAGGAGGAUAUAAUCCCUGGUCAGCUUGAGACUCCGUAGCAGCUGUCCGCCGGCCUGGUCUACGCCACCCUCUCCUAACAGCCAUUCUGCACUCGGAUGCGUGUCAGCUGACGAGGCUGUGGUUUCUCACCUUCUCCAGUAACGACACACUCCUGAGUGAGUGAAGAAACCCUUCCCCGGGCCCAGCCCACCCGUCCAGGCACAUCCCCUGCCGGCUUUGCAUGCAAACAAGUUUCCCCGUUACCGGAGGUCCCGCUGGCUCUGCGUCACAAGGCGAGGACCUCGGGCUGGUCCCCCAGGCCUGGGGGAGCCGGUGUCUGGGACUCCCCAAAGCGGCGGGGAGAAGACGGCAGCUCCUGGCGUUUCCCACCCUUGAGGUGGCUCGUCCUUGUCACAAGCUGACCUGCAGCUGCUCUGGCUUUGCUCAGCCGGGCGCCCCGAGCCGCAGCCUGCUGGGCGUGAGGUCAGGCGGCCAGUCUCCCUCCGGGAUGUGAGUGGCAGCGCUGGGCCACCCAAACCCCCUCCUUGCAGGUCGGCUCUUCCAGAAGCUACAUGCUGAGGACGGCCGAGCCUCAGGCCACUCAAGCCGGUCUCUGCUCCUCUUGGGAGAGACAAGCCCACAGCCGAGAGCUCCCUCUUGGGACCUUUCCUAAACAGGAAAUUCUCCUCUACUGAGCUCUUCCACUGAGCUCGGGGGGCUGCCCCAGCAGCUGGCCUCCCCGACGGGUACCCCACAGUAUGGAUGACAAAGCUGUGGCCCAGAGAGGUUGAGGAACUGGCUUAAGUCACACAGCCAGGACGUGGGGGCACAGAGAUGGAAUCCAGACAGAAUAGGACAACUCUGCCCUUUGUGGGUAUAGGCCAUCUACCCAAAGCCUCAGCGGCUGACCCCCUCAAGCCGGCCUCGUGUUUGGUUUAAGCUGAUGGCGGCGAGAGUCGCGCUCUGAUGACCUUUGUGUGACAGCGAUCAUUCCAGCCGGUGGCUCUGCCCAAAAGAGCCGUGGAGGUUGGUGGUUUCUGCGUCCACCCCUUCAAGUGGCCCCUAGGUGCCUGAGGACUUUGAGGCUCCUGGUGGCUCUGGCUUUGCAGCUGGGCUGGCUGGCCUUGGGGCAUGUUUCGGGUCCCCGCUUCCCAUCUGCGAAAGGGGUUCCAGCCGCAUCUCCCAUCAAAGGCCAGGGGGGUGGCGCUCGGCUACGGGGGGCCACGGGCCAGGGUACAGAGGGACAGGCCAAGGUCGGCUCUUUCACCACUGAUGACACGGAGACCCGAGAGGCCUGUCCUGAUGCCAGAAGGGACCUUGGGAGGACGGGGGAGGGGCGUGUGUGUGCGAUUUGGAGAUAUUUUCCGCAAGGUCCCCGCUGAUGCCGAGUCCCAGAAAAGAAAAUAAGGACACACAGCAUCGCCUCUGAAAUGAGGGGAAGAGAAAUAGGGAAAGUAGAUUGAUGCUUUAAGGAAAUGUUUAAAAAUAGAAAACUAAUAAACCAUUAAUU